GUGCUCACUUUGGCAGCACAUAUACUAAAUAUAGAGAUUAUCAUGGUCCCUGAACAAGGGUGACAUACAAACUCAUGAAGUGUUCCAUAGUUAC
rnacentral:snRNA from 1 species